rnacentral:misc_RNA from 1 species
GAUGAAGAACGUAGCGAAAUGCGAUAAGUAAUGUGAAUUGCAGAAUUCAGUGAAUCAUCGAAUCUUUGAACGCACAUUGCGCCCGCUGGUAUUCUAGCGGGCAUGCCUGUUCGAGCGUCAUUUCAACCAUCAAGCCCCAGGCUUGUGUUGGAGCCCUGCGGCCGUCCGCAGCCUCCUAAAAUCAGUGGCGGGCUCGCUAUCACACCGAGUGCAGUAGUUUACUCUUCGCUCAGGACGUGUAGCGGGUUCCGGCCGUGAAACCCCCCAAUUUUCAAGGUUGACCUCGGAUCAGGUAGGAAUACCCGCUGAACUUAAGCAUAUCAAUAAGCGGAGGA